AGCGUAAUUUAUCCAAAAAUAUUUGAUGUCUUGCUAUCGCAGUGUAGAAGUAGGAACCAUUCAUUUGGGGAGAUAAGGAUUGAGGUGGCCCACUGAAACUUGCAUCGAAUUUUCGGUGGUGAGGUGAAUAGGGGUUUUAAAAUCAAAUCCGUUCAAGAUAGUGAAUUGAGAAAGUUUCUCCUUCAAUUUUGAAAAGCACGCGAGGCAAUCCAGUGCGUCGGAGCCUAUCUAAGCCGUCAUCAUAAGACAGCUGGUCAUGGCUUCGAAUUCGCAAAAGGAUAUUCCGACCUCUUGCAGUCCCGGUAAGAUGAGUGAUUCCUUGAUGGAGGCAUACCUGUUAGCUUGCGUAUGAAAUCCAUGAUUUCCUUUUUAUUUUUAUUUUUAUUUUUUUGAUAAAAUAUUUUAAGAUUUGCUUGA